GUCGACCAUUUCACUUCAUUCGACCAAUUUCACGGUCUCAAUUUUUUCCUCUUUUUGUAGCCAUCUCCAUCUGUCCGUCGUCAUCUCCGGCACGAUGGUCGUCUUCGCCGGCGCUGAUAUGCAGAUGCUUCCUUGUUUCCUCCAUCCAAUUCACAGAUAAACGAUUUCUCUCCUUAAUAUUGUUGUUAUGUUUGUUGAUUUUGAUUCUGUUUCUGCCCUGGAUUUGCUUAGUCAGAAAUGCUAAAUUAGUUUAUGGAUCGAGGAUAUAGUUUGUAAAUCUUCAACAGAGUUUCAUGAUUUCUGCAUCGGUUUCAUUUUGCAUGUAGUUUCAUAUAUUUCCUGAAUUAGUUUAGGGAUAAUGAAAAGUGAUAUAAAUCGUAAAAACUCAAGAAAUGCUUUGGACUAUAACUGGAGGACGAGGAAUACGUGGUCGAAGAGGCCCAGGUGGUCGUGGCUAAAUCAUUUUGUGAAAAUCAGGCUCUAUUACUUGGAUCUGGAGCUAGGGAGUGAAACCGAUGGCGACAUGGAGACACUCCCAGCUCACCACAAAGUCUGAUCACUUGUUGAAGGUUGAUCUUGAUUAAAUCCUGCAAAAUAGAAAGCAUAAAUUAAAAGAAGAAGAGCAAAAUCAAGCUUAAGAGGAAGCAUAUGUCGUCGAAGUAGAAGAAGCUGGUCAAAGAAAAAAAUCAAAAAGAAGAAACAAAGUCAACAAAAAAAAAAGUUGGGCUUUGUGUGUUUUUGGUGUAAUGAAGAAAGUGGGCUUACGUGUAUUGCUGAGGCUCAAGUGAUCAUAUAAUUAGUUUGGUUAAAGUAACUAAGUUAAGUUAGAGUUAGAGUAGUUUAAGAGUUGUUAGAGUAGUUAGGAGUUGUUAAAGGUGAUGAUGUUUGGAGUAAGGUUACUUGUGCAACUAGUCUAGUACUAGAUGUAUGGACUAGAAGAAGUGGUUAAGACUAGAGUCCAAGUGUUAAAGAUGUAUCAAGUAAUAUAAGUAUGUGUGUGUUGUGUUUUUGUAAAAGCAUCGAUUGAUCCAAUAUCAACAAUGUAGUCUUUCAUGUA